UACGGGGGGAGCAAGCGUUGUUCGGAUUUACUGGGCGUAAAGGGCGCGUAGGCGGCCUCUGCAAGUCGACUGUGAAAUCUCCGGGCUUAACCCGGAAAGGUCAGCCGAUACUGCAGGGCUAGAGUGCAGAAGGGGCAACUGGAAUUCUCGGUGUAGCGGUGAAAUGCGUAGAUAUCGAGAGGAACACCUGCGGCGAAGGCGGGUUGCUGGGCUGACACUGACGCUGAAGCGCGAAAGCUAGGGGAGCGAACGGG
rnacentral:rRNA from 1 species